rnacentral:rRNA from 1 species
UACGAAGGGGGCGAGCGUUGUUCGGAUUUACUGGGCGUAAAGCGUGCGCAGGCGGUUUUGUAAGCCAGAUGUGAAAUCCCCGGGCUCAACCUGGGAAUGGCAUUUGGGACUGCAAGGCUGGAGUGUGGCAGAGGAGACUGGAAUUCCUGGUGUAGCAGUGAAAUGCGUAGAUAUCAGGAGGAAUACCGAUGGCGAAGGCAGGUCUCUGGGCUGACACUGACGCUCAUGCACGAAAGCGUGGGGAGCAAACAGG